AACGAACGCUGGCGGCAUGCCUAACACAUGCAAGUCGAACGAGACCUUCGGGUCUAGUCGCGCACGGGUUCGUCACGCGUGGGAACCUUCCCUUAGGUUCGGCCUACCUCCCCGACUGGGGUGCUAAUACCGGAUAAUGUCUUCUGACCAAGGAUUUAUCGCGUUUGGAUGGGCCCGCGUUGGAUUAGCUCGUUGGUAGGGUAAAAGCCUCCCACGGCGACGAUCCAUAGCUGGUCUGAGAGGAUGCUCAGCGACACUGGGACUGAGACACGGCCGAGACUCCUACGGGAGGCAGCAGUGGGGAAUAUUGGACAAUGGGCGGAAGGCUGAUCCAGCAAGGACGGGUGAGUGAUGAAGGCCGUAGGGUUGUAAAGCUCUUUUAACCGGGAUGAUAAUGACAGUACCGGGAGAAUAAGCUCCGGCUAACUCCGUG
rnacentral:rRNA from 1 species